rnacentral:tmRNA from 1 species
GGGGCCGAAAGGGUUUCGAUUGCGGGAAAAUCCCUCAUGGGAACCCGCAACAAGGGAGUUCGACUCUCCCCGGCUCCACCA